CUGACUUCAGCAUCUAACACACAAAAAUUGGAAUGAUACAGAGUAGAUCAACAACCUUUGUACAAUGAUGGCAUGCAAAUUCAUGAAAUCUUCCAUAUUUUU